rnacentral:ncRNA from 2 species
AUACCUUUGCUGCGCAACGGUUCGCCGAACGAGGCCCCCGGCCCCGGGCGAUUAAAAGGGAAUGCCGUGAAAAUCGGCAACAGUUCCCUCUGCUGUAAGUUCCUGCCGCCGAAGCGGCACAUCAGACCCCGACAAUCUCUUGCCACUGGUUUUCACGCGACCGGGAAGGCGUCGGGACCGGAACGAGUCAGAAGACCUGCCGCUGCAAUGGUUUUACA